UCCCUGGUGGCUCAGAGGUUAAAGCGUCUGCCUACAAGGCAGGAGACCCAGGUUCAAUCCCUGGGUCGGGAA
rnacentral:tRNA from 1 species